GACGAAGGAUGCAAGCGUUAUCCGGAUUCAUUGGGUUUAAAGGGAGCGUAGGCGGCCUUGUAAGUCAGUGGUGAAAUCUCUGGGCUUAACCCAGAAAUUGCCAUUGAUACUGCAGGGCUUGAGUACAGUUGCCGUUGGCGGAAUAUGACAUGUAGUGGUGAAAUACAUAGAGAUGUGGAGGAACACCAGUGGCGAAGGCGACUCUUUGGUCUGUAACUGACGCUGAGGCGCGAAAGCGUGGGGAGCAAACAGG
rnacentral:rRNA from 1 species